GACGAACGCUGGCGGCGUGCCUAACACAUGCAAGUCGAACGGUCAACCUCUUCGGAGGGGCUCAGUGGCGAACGGGUGGGUGACACGUGGGCAACCUGCCCCCGUCUCUGGGAUAACUCCAUGAAAUUGGGGCUAAUACCGUAUGUUCACCGCUUCCCUCAUGGGUGGUGGUGCAAAGGUUUUCCGGCUGGGGGUGGGCCCGCGGCCUAUCAGCUGGUUGGUGGGGUAGUGGUAUUCCAAGGCGACGAUGGGUAGCCGGCCUGAGAGGGCAGCCGGCCACACUGGGACUGAGACACGGCCCAGACUCCUACGGGACGCAGCAGUGGGGAAUAUUGCGCAGUGGGCGGAAGCCAGACGUGGCGACGCCGCGUGGGGGAUAACGGGCUUCGGGUUGUAAACCACUUUCAGCAGAGACGAAGCGCAAGUGACGGUACCUGCAGAAGAAGCACCGGCUAACUACGUG
rnacentral:rRNA from 1 species